UACGGGGGGAGCAAGCGUUGUUCGGAUUUACUGGGCGUAAAGGGCGCGUAGGCGGCGUGACAAGUCACUUGUGAAAUCUCCGGGCUUAACUCGGAACGGUCAAGUGAUACUGUCGGACUAGAGUACAGAAGGGGCAACUGGAAUUCUCGGUGUAGCGGUGAAAUGCGUAGAUAUCAGGAGGAACACCGGUGGCGAAGGCGGGUCUCUGGGCCGAUACUGACGCUGAGGAGCGAAAGCGUGGGGAGCGAACAGG
rnacentral:rRNA from 1 species